GAUGAAGAACGUAGCGAAAUGCGAUAAGUAAUGUGAAUUGCAGAAUUCUGUGAAUCAUCGAAUCUUUGAACGCACAUUGCGCCCGCCAGUAUUCUGGCGGGCAUGCCUGUUCGAGCGUCAUUUCAACCAUCAAGCCCCCGGCUUGUGUUGGGGACCUGCGGCUGCCGCAGGCCCUGAAAAGCAGUGGCGGGCUCGCUGUCACACCGAGCGUAGUAGCAUACAUCUCGCUCUGGGCGUGCUGCGGGUUCCGGCCGUUAAACCACCUUCAUAACCCAAGGUUGACCUCGGAUCAGGUAGGAAGACCCGCUGAACUUAAGCAUAUCAAUAAGCGGAGGA
rnacentral:misc_RNA from 1 species